rnacentral:ncRNA from 1 species
UGAAAUGCAGGGAAAAGGAGGAGUACAUAGUUCUGGAUCUCCAGAGAGAAGAUGGCCGGUGCAAAUCUUUGUGACAGGAUUAUGGAAGUAGCCUUGGAGCAGUGAACCGAACAAGGUGUUUACCUUAAGUAGACUUCAACGUCAUUCCCACGUUACAGGGAAGCAAUAUGUAUUGUAUUGACAGAGUGCAGAAAUUUUUUCUGAAGUUAGGUGGUACCACGGAUUUAUUCGUCCUAAGC